rnacentral:lncRNA from 10 species
AGCCACCAAAUGAUCUUGCAGAUGCUCAUGGUACCCUGCAGGAUGGUUCAGAGUACUACCUAUGGCCUGUCUCACCCCCAUCCUGUGCCUAUAAAAACCCCAGAUUCAGCCACAAUGACAGAGACAACCUGACUUUGGGGAAGAGACGACUUGACUUCGGGGAAGAUAAGCUGAUCUUCUCAUCCCCUCUCCAGCUCUCUCUCUGCUGAGAGCUGUUUUUGUUGCUCAAUAAAAUUCUCCGCUGUCAUUACCCUUCA